AUUGAACGCUGGCGGCAUGCCUUACACAUGCAAGUCGAACGGCAGCACGGGGGCAACCCUGGUGGCGAGUGGCGAACGGGUGAGUAAUGCAUCGGAACGUGCCCAGUAGUGGGGGAUAACCAGUCGAAAGACUGGCUAAUACCGCAUACGACCUAAGGGUGAAAGCGGGGGACCGUAAGGCCCCGCGCUAUUGGAGCGGCCGAUGUCUGAUUAGCUAGUUGGCGGGGUAAGAGCCCACCAAGGCGACGAUCAGUAGCUGGUCUGAGAGGACGACCAGCCACACUGGGACUGAGACACGGCCCAGACUCCUACGGGAGGCAGCAGUGGGGAAUUUUGGACAAUGGGCGCAAGCCUGAUCCAGCCAUGCCGCGUGCGGGAAGAAGGCCUUCGGGUUGUAAACCGCUUUUGGCAGGAACGAAACGGCGCAAGCCAAUACCUUGCGCUAAUGACGGUACCUGCAGAAUAAGCACCGGCUAACUACGUGCCAGCAGCCGCCGUAACAC
rnacentral:rRNA from 1 species